UGGGGAAUAUUGCACAAUGGGCGGAAGCCUGAUGCAGCGACGCCGCGUGGGGGAUGAAGGCCUUCGGGUUGUAAACUCCUUUCGACAGGGACGAAGCUUUUGUGACGGUACCUGUAUAAGAAGCACCGGCUAACUACGUGCUAGCAGCCGCGGUAAUACGUAGGGUGCGAGCGUUGUCCGGAAUUACUGGGCGUAAAGAGCUCGUAGGUGGUUUGUCGCGUCGUCUGUGAAAUUCCGGGGCUUAACUCCGGGCGUGCAGGCGAUACGGGCAUAACUUGAGUGCUGCAGGGGUAACUGGAAUUCCUGGUGUAGCGGUGAAAUGCGCAGAUAUCAGGAGGAACCCCGAUGGCGAAGGCAGGUUACUGGGCAGUUACUGACGCUGAGGAGCGAAAGCAUGGGUAGCGAACAGGAUUAGAUACCCUGGUAGUCCAUGCCGUAAACGGUGGGCGCUAGGUGUGAGGGUCUUUCUACGACUUUCGUGCCGUAGCUAACGCAUUAAGCGCCCCGCCUGGGGAGUACGGCCGCAAGGCUA
rnacentral:rRNA from 1 species